GCUGUUACCUGGGAUGCGUCACGUCCGUUUUCCCCCUUUGUUUUGGCUGUGUUGACGGUGGCUGUGGAGUGCAGUUUUAUGGUCCGGUGCUGCUUUCCUUUUUGUGCUGCUUAGUGGGUUUGAUGACUGUUUGCCUCUCAGUAUAUAUGACUUCUUGUACCCCAUGAUGGUAGCGGUGGGUAUGACUGUGACAAGCCCGUGCCUAUGAAGCAUUUUGUUCGGCGUGAUAUCCUGAUGGAUUCUCCCUCUCGUUCUAUGCUGUGAUUUGUUUGCUGCCGUGAUUGUUUGCUGCCGUGAGCUCUUGCUGCUGUCUUCGCGCUGUUAAAAGAGCGGCUGUCCAUACAGCCGCGCCGACGAAGUCAUCAACGUUUAUUAAAGGGGACUGCUGGUUUGAUUCUAUUACGUGCCUUUCUAGUGCCCUGCUUCAUGUUUUGGUUUAUUUCAUUAUUAGUUACCAUGGUUAAAUCAUUUAACCUUUUUCUUUUUCUUUUUCUUUAAGUUUGUGGAUAUUUGUUUGAUUGUAUUGCUUUGAUCUUUUUUUUUUGUGAAACUAUAAUCUGUCGACAUGUGCAUGUUUAACCUAUGAAUGCAAUUCAAAUCGUGUGGUGAUUUACUGUAUAGAAGUUGGUGUUUGUAACAAUUUCAGGUGAUUAACUAUCUGAUUUUUUGGUUACAUUGUUGCUUCUCCUCACUUUUGUUUGUUGAUACCACUUAUGUGAGGAGUUGCUGCAUUGAUGUUCAUAUUGCCCUUUCUGUCCAGUUUAUUUUCAAAGUUAUUUAUUUUCUUUUUGAUUUAUUGCAGGAGGCGGGGUCCCACGGGUGGUUUGAUCUCCCUCCUUGUGGUGGUGGUUCUCCUUCAUCGUGUGCGGUGUACACCUUGAGUGUUUGAUAGUGUGAUUAGAGUGCACGGGUGUGUGUGCGUGUGGAAGUGUGCUCUUGUGAAACCAAA